UGCAAGGCAUUACUUCUUGCUGGCUCUAGGUAUGUUAGUUCAUGCCAAAAUUGUAUCUGUUGAAGGAUAAUAGGGAGUUUCUGUGAUGACUAUUGAAUUUUUACCAGCCAGACCUAUGUUUCAGUGCUAAGGUUUAUAUAUGUUUUACCAUUCCCUUUCUUUUCAUCUAGGCAUCAAUAUAUUUUCCGAACAAGCACAUUGUUUCUCAUGUAAUGAGCAUCUUGUUUGAGAUGAGAACUCACCCCC
rnacentral:misc_RNA from 1 species